GCCUGGCCAACAUGGUGAAACACUGUCUCUACUAAGAAUACAAAAAUUGGUCAGGCGUGGUGGCACAUGCCUGUAAUCCCAGCUACUCAGGAGGCUGAGGCUGGAGAAUCGCCGAAACCCAGGAGGUAGAGGCUGCAGAGGGCCGAGAUCGCGCCACUGCCCUCCAGCCUGGGUGACAGAGCAAGGCAAGACUCUGUCUCAAAAAACCAAAAAAACAAAAAAAGGAAUGUUUUAUAAUGGAAUGAUAUAGUA
rnacentral:lncRNA from 1 species